CAGCGGCCCUAGUGGUGAUCGUUAUUAUUGGGCCUAAAGCGUCCGUAGCCGGUUCGGUAAAUCUCUGGGUAAAUCGUUGGGCUUAACUCAACGAAUUCUGGGGAGACUGCUGAACUUGGGACCGGGAGAGGUCGGAGGUACUCCAGGGGUAGGGGUGAAAUCCUGUAAUCCUUGGGGGACCACCGGUGGCGAAAGCGUCCGACCAGAACGGGUCCGACGGUAAGGGACGAAGCCCUGGGGCGCGAACCGGAUUAGAUACCCGAGUAGUCC
rnacentral:rRNA from 1 species